UACAGAGGUCUCAAGCGUUGUUCGGAUUCAUUGGGCGUAAAGGGUGCGUAGGCGGCUCGGUAAGUCGGGUGUGAAAUCUUGGAGCUUAACUCCGAAACUGCAUUCGAUACUGCCGUGCUUGAGGACUGGAGAGGAGACUGGAAUUUACGGUGUAGCGGUGAAAUGCGUAGAUAUCGUAAGGAAGACCAGUGGCGAAGGCGGGUCUCUGGACAGUUCCUGACACUGAGACACGAAAGCCAGGGGAGCAAACGGG
rnacentral:rRNA from 1 species